rnacentral:rRNA from 1 species
ACGUAGGGGGCAAGCGUUAUCCGGAAUUAUUGGGCGUAAAGAGUGCGUAGGUGGUUUUGUAAGCGCGGGGUGAAAGGCUAUGGCUCAACCAUAGUAAGCCUUGCGAACUGUAAGACUUGAGUGCAGGAGAGGAAAGUGGAAUUCCUAGUGUAGCGGUGAAAUGCUUAGAUAUUAGGAGGAACACCAGUGGCGAAGGCGACUUUCUGGACUGUAACUGACACUGAGGCACGAAAGCGAGGGGAGCGAACAG